UUUUAAGUGGUAGGGGAAAGGGAGGUAAGGAUAUUUAUAUAGUAGUAAAUUUUUACUAAGAAGUUUCUUUAUGUUAUUAAUAAAUAGAAUAAAUAUAGAAGAUAUAAUUAAUAAUUUUGUUUAACAAAAAUAGAAUUUCGUUUAUGUCUGGCGAAGACAGUGCCAGCCGCCGCGGUUAUACUGGCAGAUUGAAAUAAUUUUUUGUAUGGGAAUAAAUAAUGAUGAUUGAGGGAUGAAUGAUAUUAGUUAGGUGAAAUUUUUUUCUUCAUUGUUAAUGUUAUUUGUUUUUCGGAAAUUUUCUUUUAAGACUAGGAUUAGAUACCCUAUUAUUGGGAAUGCAGUGUUGAUAGUAUAUAUAAAUUAUGAAAUCAAAAGAUUUUGGCGGUAUUUUAAGCUUGUUAGAGGAAUUUGCUCUUUAAUUGAUAAAACACCAAUAUCUUACUUGUAUUUGUAAAUUCGGUUUGUAUAUUGCUAUCAGUAAAUUAUAUUGAUUGAUUAUAAUUGUAAUAUAGUUUUUAUAAAAUAUUAGGUCAAAAUGCAGCUUAUAUAUAAGGUUGAAGUGAAUUAUGAGAAUUUUUAUUGGAAGGAAUGAAAAAGGUUUUAGGAUUUAAAAGUAAAAUGAAAUUAUAAUGUUUAUUUGAAGAAAGCUCUAAAAUAUGUACAUAUCGCCCGUCGCUCUCAAUUUUUGAGAUAAGUCGUAACAAAGUAAGUGUACUGGAAAGUGUACU
rnacentral:ncRNA from 1 species